rnacentral:rRNA from 1 species
CAAUCAUAUGCUUGUCUCAAAGAUUAAGCCAUGCAUGUCUAAGUAUAAGUGUUUAUACAGCGAAACUGCGAAUGGCUCAUUAUAUCAGUUAUAAUCUACUCGAUUGAUUCUGUUACUUGGAUAACUGUAGGAAUUCUAGAGCUAAUACAUGCGAAAAGUCUGGACCGGGGGCAACCUUGGGAAGGAUGCAUUUACUAGAGGAGAAACCAGGGUGGGGCGUUAACUACGGGCAACCGUGGGUCCCAUUACAACAGAUGAAUCAUAGUAAGUUCAUGCG